GGAAAAAGGCUGGACUCCCACCACUAGCUCCCAAAGCUAGCACUCUAAAGUUAAACUACCCUCU
rnacentral:tRNA from 1 species